AUGAUGAAGGGAACAUCAUCGUUUGGAAAGCAUCACAAUAAGACGUGACAGGACGUACCACCUUCAGAAGUCGACCUGUGGCAAAUGUGGCUAUGCUGCCAAGCGCAAGAGGAAGUAUAACUGGAGUGCCAAGGCUAAAAGACAAACUACCACUGGAACUGGUCAAAUGAGGCACUUAAAAAUUGUAUACAGCAAAUUCGGGCAUGGAUUCUGUGAAAGAACACCACCUAAACCCAAGAGGGCAGCUGCUGCAGCAUCCAGUUCAUCUUAA
rnacentral:lncRNA from 1 species